UAAAUUAAUUAAAAGGUUAGAUUCAGGGUAAGGUGUGAGAAACUUUACCUGGCCUCCAGCAAAAGUAAACCUUUUGCUAAAAAUUAUCAAAUUGUCGGGAACACCUUAAAGCUAUUUUAACUAAAUCUAUUCCCCUUCGGGGAAUCCGUCAGGAUUCCCUGAUAGGGAAUCCCUGCUUCGCAGGGAUUAGGUAACUAAUAGAUGGCUCAGGUAAUGACUCGAGGUAUAGUAAUAUCAAAAUAGAUGCACGAAAGGAAAUAGGUAACCCGCAGCCAACUGCCUUGAUAUUGUAGAUGCAAGUCAAGCUCUUAAUUCAUGGUAGGCAGUUCAUCGACUAAACGGUAAUUGGUGUUAUUAGAGUUAUAGUGCCUUAAUAAUGCUUAAGAUAUAGUCAGACCUUACUUGAAAAAGUACA
rnacentral:ncRNA from 1 species